GGGGGUGUAUGGUUUUGACAGCAUAGAUCUUUGAAAGUGUAAGCAUGUUCUGCGUUGUGUAAUUAGCAGGCUAAUCUGAAUACACAAAAACUCAAAUGGCAAUACUCAGUAUGCCAUGGCCGCUUAAUCAGUGAUUAGGUAGUCAUUAGGGCCGCCGGGCCGGUUCGCUUGUUUCCAUGCCCCGCCGCCGACUCAAAACAAAACAAGAUGCUGCAACAGAAGGCUGUGACUGUUGCUUAAGACCAUGCAGCUAAGGAAGUAGUCGGUUGUUUGUUUCCAGUUGCUUCCCGAAAAACCUCAAAACAAAAUAAGCAUGUAGAAAGCUUUUGGAGAAUAUGUUUGGACACCGGUUCGAAUCCGGUCACCUCCACAU
rnacentral:tmRNA from 1 species